UACGGGGGGAGCAAGCGUUGUUCGGAUUUACUGGGCGUAAAGGGCGCGUAGGCGGUCAGCACAAGUCAGUUGUGAAAUCUCCGGGCUUAACUCGGAAAGGUCAACUGAUACUGUGCGACUAGAGUGCGGAAGGGGCAACUGGAAUUCUCGGUGUAGCGGUGAAAUGCGUAGAUAUCGGGAGGAACACCUGCGGCGAAGGCGGCUUCCUGGACUGCAACUGACGCUGAGGCGCGAAAGCUAGGGGAGCAAACAGG
rnacentral:rRNA from 1 species